UACGUAGGGUGCAAGCGUUGUCCGGAAUUAUUGGGCGUAAAGAGCUCGUAGGCGGUCUGUCGCGUCUGCUGUGAAAACUCGGGGCUUAACCCCGGGCCUGCAGUGGGUACGGGCAGACUAGAGUGCGGUAGGGGAGACUGGAAUUCCUGGUGUAGCGGUGAAAUGCGCAGAUAUCAGGAGGAACACCGGUGGCGAAGGCAGCUCGCUGGGACGGUACUGACGCUGAGGCGCGAAAGCGUGGGGAGCAAACAGG
rnacentral:rRNA from 1 species